rnacentral:rRNA from 1 species
UGCAGUCGAACGAGUUCUGAUUAUUGAAAGGUGCUUGCAUCUUGAUUUAAUUUUGAACGAGUGGCGGACGGGUGAGUAACACGUGGGUAACCUGCCCUUAAGUGGGGGAUAACAUUUGGAAACAGAUGCUAAUACCGCAUAAAUCCAAGAACCGCAUGGUUCUUGGCUGAAAGAUGGCGUAAGCUAUCGCUUUUGGAUGGACCCGCGGCGUAUUAGCUAGUUGGUGAGGUAACGGCUCACAAGGCAAUGAUACGUAGCCGAACUGAGAGGUUGAUCGGCCACAUUGGGACUGAGACACGGCCCAAACUCCUACGGGAGGCAGCAGUAGGGAAUCUUCCACAAUGGACGCAAGUCUGAUGAGCAACGCCGCGUGAGUGAAGAAGGCUUUCGGGUCGUAAAACUCUGUUGUUGGAGAAGAAUGGUCGGCAGAGUAACUGUUGUCGGCGUGACGGUAUCCAACCAGAAAGCCACGGCUAACUACGUGCCAGCAGCCGCGGUAAUACGUAGGUGGCAAGCGUUAUCCGGAUUUAUUGGGCGUAAAGCGAGCGCAGGCGGUUUUUUAAGUCUGAUGUGAAAGCCCUCGGCUUAACCGAGGAAGUGCAUCGGAAACUGGGAAACUUGAGUGCAGAAGAGGACAGUGGAACUCCAUGUGUAGCGGUGAAAUGCGUAGAUAUAUGGAAGAACACCAGUGGCGAAGGCGGCUGUCUGGUCUGUAACUGACGCUGAGGCUCGAAAGCAUGGGUAGCGAACAGGAUUAGAUACCCUGGUAGUCCAUGCCGUAAACGAUGAAUGCUAGGUGUUGGAGGGUUUCCGCCCUUCAGUGCCGCAGCUAACGCAUUAAGCAUUCCGCCUGGGGAGUACGACCGCAAGGUGAAACUCAAAGGAAUUGACGGGGGCCCGCACAAGCGGUGGAGCAUGUGGUUUAAUUCGAAGCAACGCGAAGAACCUUACCAGGUCUUGACAUCUUUUGAUCACCUGAGAGAUCAGGUUUCCCCUUCGGGGGCAAAAUGACAGGUGGUGCAUGGUUGUCGUCAGCUCGUGUCGUGAGAUGUUGGGUUAAGUCCCGCAACGAGCGCAACCCUUAUGACUAGUUGCCAGCAUUUAGUUGGGCACUCUAGUAAGACUGCCGGUGACAAACCGGAGGAAGGUGGGGAUGACGUCAAAUCAUCAUGCCCCUUAUGACCUGGGCUACACACGUGCUACAAUGGAUGGUACAACGAGUUGCGAGACCGCGAGGUCAAGCUAAUCUCUUAAAGCCAUUCUCAGUUCGGACUGUAGGCUGCAACUCGCCUACACGAAGUCGGAAUCGCUAGUAAUCGCGGAUCAGCACGCCGCGGUGAAUACGUUCCCGGGCCUUGUACACACCGCCCGUCACACCAUGAGAGUUUGUAACACCCGAAGCCGGUGGUCGUAACCCUUUUAGGGAGCGAGCCGUCUAA